AAACCGUUUAGGGGUAAACCUGAGAAACCCGAAAGGUCGAAGGGAGAAAUUCAUUCGCGUUUCGAGGCAGGCGUCGGGCGGUCGAGUGACGGAGAACGUUCGCGCGUUUUCCGCACCUUCCGUUCGUUCGAUCCGGCCACGAACGCGUGCACUUUUCUCCUGGUAGGACGUCGCGAUCCGUUGGGUGUCGGUCUACGGCCCGAUGCGGAGCCCGUACGUGAGGUUUCACGACCUCUACGGUGCGGACGGUCGUGUCCCGGCUGACUCGCUCGACGGUAUGCGAGAGGUUUUGGGCCGCUCUUCACCGAGCGUUCGGCCCGUCGCAAGCGCUCCAGAUGUUUGUCGGCGAUCGGACCCAGUGCCGAUUCCGUCCUCUGGUGACUGUUGGCGGCGGAGUCCUCGAACAGUGCCCUCGACCGAUCUGCGACGCUAUAGCUUUGGGUAAUUUCAGGACCCGUCUUGAA
rnacentral:rRNA from 1 species